UACACACACGGACAAACCAAGAUCUCCAAAUGCAUGGCGCUUAGCUUCUGGUGAGACAGAGAGACAAUAAAUAUGAUAACUAAAUAUAGUACAGAGAAGGCUGGGAAAUGAUCGUUGCCAAGGAAAAGUAGAAAAACAAAACCGUGUGACAGGAAACUGAAACAGGUGGUUACAGAGAAGAGGGUUGGAUCCCCAGGGUGGUUUCAUUCAGAUCUGACCUCGUGAUGAUCUGGAAGGAACAGGGAAGAACGAUCGUCGAAGCUCUGAAUAUCAAUGUGUGCAACAGGUUGACAAAUAAGGACUUAAAAGAAGGAACUAGAGAGACUUAAGUCACUGAACGAAGGAAAUAACCAGGCGGUUUUACUGAAUUACUUAUUCUGUAUCCCUCAACGGAUGGGGACUAGGAAGAUGCUUAAGUCUUGGGACAUGACAUACAAAAAAACAAUAGGUAAUAUUUUACCAACACUUUUCAAUAUCUUAUUUCCCCCUUUGGCUUCCCUUCAUUUAUACGUGGGAUCCAUAUCCAUCACAUGUCAUUUUCCAGAGAUACUGUACGGUUUCAGAAUCUCACAUUUUUGGGGUUGAUUUUUAGAUACAGUAGGUAAGAAAAAGUCUAAGGGAAAUACAAGU